rnacentral:lncRNA from 1 species
AGAUGAGAGCACAGGGAAGUCAAGGAACAGAUUCCAGCAAGGAAGAAACUAGAGAUGGUUGGGAGAGAACCGAGGAAUCAAACACAGUUAUAGGCAGCCUUCCUCUCCCCAUUCAUCCUCUCUCUUUUGACUCUGCAGGAAAUCUUCUUAGAAGUUUUCUUGACUCAAGUUUUCAUACUGUAUGUCCAAUGACAUAUAUAAACUGCCACUGAAGACAGACAUUAUCUGUACACGUAGAGUAUGACACACCCUGCUCUGUCAUACCAUGUGGUUCAGUUCAACAUUGGAUCCCAGAUUUUCCCUUUUGCAGAACCUGAGGUCAGCAUAUUCACAGAACCACUAAGAUCUUUGUGCUCUUUGCCUGCCGACCAGCUUUCUGAGGACAGAAGAUAAUUCCUUAUAGCAACUCCGGCAGCUUGCAAUGCCACCUCUUUAGGCUUUUAAAAGUCCUUUGUCCUGUCUAAUGAUGUUAUUGCAUUUCUAUAUUCCCAGAGAUUUAGGGUGGCAGACUUUGGAGGCCUGAGAUGACAUAUUCCUUUGAGGCUCUGAGUAUCUGGAAGGUGCUUUAGUCUUCUGCCAUACCUUCAGCUUGCAAUGGAUACUGCCUUGCUCUCAAUGGUGGCCCGGGGAUACUCAGGACCUUCUCACGUUAGCCUGUUCUGACUCUAACUUUCAGCAUUCCACCAGAGCAUUCUCAUUAUGUCAGUUGAAAAGACUUUUAUUAACUUUAAAAAAAAUACUACACAUUCAUUUUUCAGAAUCAAAUUAUACAAAAUUGCAUACAUCUCAAAUACAUAAAUCUAAAAGUUUCUCUUAAUCAUACCCUACAGGAAUGUAAUGUUUGAAAGUCUGAUGUAGUAUUAUUCAAAAUAGAAACUAUGCUCUGUAAAUACAAAACUAAUCUGAUUCACUGAGAAUAAUUUUUAUAACUAUUUUUAGAUUAUUUUAUGUGUUGGUUUUACCCCCCAUAUGUUUGUGUACCACAUGCAUACCUGGUGCUGCUGACAUCAGAAGAGGGUAUCAAAUCCCUUGAAAAUAGAAUUACAGAUGGUUGUAAGCUGGGAAUCCCCCAUCUUUCCAGCACUGAGACUUGUUGCUAACAUGACUGUGUAUGUGACUUGAGAUAUAAAUUAAAUAUUCUUUUUUGGCACACUAUUAGGUUAGCUAGAGUCUCCAAAUAAAAUCAAUGCUCUGAAAGUUUUAAAACAGCAAGAGUCAGCAUUUCUUUACCCUCUUCACAGAAAGUCUUAACCUAGCCUGAGCUUAGAUGGCAAAAUUUCAUUUUAGUCAACUAACUGGGCUGAAAUUAUGACUGAAGAGCUACAAAUAUCAAAGAGAAAUACAGUGAUUGAUAAGAUUAUAAUCAGGUUAAGUCACAUGCUUGAUGGAUGCUAGGUUGAGAGCAUCUGAGUAGAUUAAUUCCACCAGACUGUGUCAUUGGUGUAGAAAUGGUUUGAUUGAUAUUGAGAUAACAGAGCACUGUUUACUUAACCAAGAUGAUUAUGGGCAUCAAAAUUUCAUCCCUGUAUCAACUAUCAUUGUUAAUAGUUGAAAAGUUGGCUUUAUGAACUAAUGUAAUAGCCAUUUCAUAAAAACAAAGAGAAUAUUUCUCCAUAAGGACUUUAAAUAAAUAAUAUGUUUUGGCAUGUCUCAGGAAAUUGUUUCCAAGAGAUUACAAGAAGGAAGUUUUGCAUUGUGUGAGCUAACAAAUAUUUGAAUCUAGGAAACAUAGAAGUUCUAAAGGCACAUUGAAUUGCUAUCUGUAAGCAGAAGUUAGCAGUAAUAGAUAAUUGUAAUUAAUUUGCAAUAGAUUGUCUAUUCAUUAAGCAUGAAGCAGAUCUUUAGAGUUUAUGUUACUUAAUUAUUCAACAAGUAUUUACAAACAGCCUACUGCAUGCUAGGUACUCUGUUGCAUGCUAUGAUGCCAUACUAGAAAGGAGAGCAAAAUCAAAUACAAUCCUUGGUUUCCCUGUGCCUGUGUUCUGUUAGAGACAAUCAAUACUUUUCCAGUCAUCACAAUAAAGAAUGUAUAAUUACAAAGAGAGGCAUGGAUGCUCCAUAUAAGGAAUGUGUUUUACAAGUGGAUGUAACAGAGCAUUCCAGCUUAGAC